rnacentral:misc_RNA from 1 species
AGCAGCCGCGGUAAUUCCAGCUCCAAUAGCGUAUAUUAAAGUUGUUGCAGUUAAAAGCUCGUAGUUGAAUUUCGGGACUAAUAUGUCGGUCGUGCCUCGGUACGUACUGGCUUAUUGGUUUCUCCUUUCUGAAGAACCAUGAUGUCAUUAAUUUGGUGUUAUGGGAAGUUAGGACUGUUACUUUGAAAAAUUAGAGUGUUUAAAGCAGGCUUUAGCUUGAAUACAUUAGCAUGGAAUAAUGAAAAUAGGACGUUCGAAC